UACGUAGGGGGCAAGCGUUGUCCGGAUUUAUUGGGCGUAAAGAGCGUGUAGGCGGCCAUACAGGUCCGUUGUGAAAACUCGAGGCUCAACCUCGAGACGCCGAUGGAAACCGUAUGGCUAGAGUCCGGAAGAGGAGAGUGGAAUUCCUGGUGUAGCGGUGAAAUGCGCAGAUAUCAGGAAGAACACCCGUGGCUAAGGCGGCUCUCUAGUACGGUACUGACGCUGAGACGCGAAAGCGUGGGAGCGAACAGG
rnacentral:rRNA from 1 species